rnacentral:rRNA from 1 species
UACGGGGGGAGCAAGCGUUGUUCGGAUUUACUGGGCGUAAAGGGCGCGUAGGCGGCCACCGCAAGUCGACUGUGAAAUCUCCGGGCUUAACCCGGAAAGGUCAGCCGAUACUGCGGGGCUAGAGUGCAGAAGGGGCAACUGGAAUUCUCGGUGUAGCGGUGAAAUGCGUAGAUAUCGAGAGAACAUCAGUUGCUAAGGCGACCACCUGGCCCAACACUGACGCUGAGGUGCGAAAGCGUGGGGAGCGAACAGG